GAAAUGCGAUAAGUAAUGUGAAUUGCAGAAUUCAGUGAAUCAUCGAAUCUUUGAACGCACCUUGCGCUCCUUGGUAUUCCUUGGAGCAUGCCUGUUUGAGUAUCAUGAAAUCUUCAAAGUAAAUCUUUUGUUAACUGAAUUGGUUUCUACUUUGGUAUUGGAGGUCUUUGCAGCUUCACACCUGCUCCUCUUUGUUCAUUAGCUGGAUCUCAGUGUUAUGCUUGGUUCCACUCGGCGUGAUAAGUUAUCUAUCGCUGAGGACACUGUAAAAGGUGGCCAAGGUAAAUGCAGAUGAACCGCUUCUAAUAGUCCAUUGACUUGGACAAUACUUUUAUGAUCUGAUCUCAAAUCAGGUAGGACUACCCGCUGAACUUAAGC
rnacentral:misc_RNA from 1 species